AUACGGAGGAUCCGAGCGUUAUCCGGAUUUAUUGGGUUUAAAGGGAGCGUAGGUGGAUUGUUAAGUCAGUUGUGAAAGUUUGCGGCUCAACCGUAAAAUUGCAGUUGAAACUGGCAGUCUUGAGUACAGUAGAGGUGGGCGGAAUUCGUGGUGUAGCGGUGAAAUGCUUAGAUAUCACGAAGAACUCCGAUUGCGAAGGCAGCUCACUAGACUGUUACUGACACUGAUGCUCGAAAGUGUGGGUAUCAAACAGGAUUAGAUACCCUGGUAGUCCACACAGUAAACGAUGAAUACUCGCUGUUUGCGAUAUACAGUAAGCGGCCAAGCGAAAGCAUUAAGUAUUCCACCUGGGGAGUACGCCGACAACGGUGAAACUCAAAGGAAUUGGCGGGG
rnacentral:rRNA from 1 species